rnacentral:rRNA from 1 species
AGAAUCAACGCUGGCGGCGUGCCUCAGACAUGCAAGUCGAACGAUUAAAGCUCUCUUCGGAGAGUGCAUAGAGUGGCGCACGGGUGAGUAACACGUGGGUAAUCUACCUUUGAGUGGGGAAUAACAUCGGGAAACCGAUGCUAAUACCGCAUAAUGCAGCGGCACCUAAUGGUGACAGUUGUUAAAGAUUUAUCGCUUAAAGAGGAGCCCGCGGCAGAUUAGCUAGUUGGUAAGGUAACGGCUUACCAAGGCUACGAUCUAGUAGCCGGUCUGAGAGGACGGCCGGUCACACUGACACUAGAAUAACGGGUCAGACUCCGUACGGGAGCAGCAGGUCGGGAAUUUGGGACAAGUAGGGACGAAGCCUGACCAGCAACGCCG